UAAGUACAUAUUUUUUUAUAAAAUGACGUUUAAUGCAGAUUUCUUGUGUUUGAAAUAGAUGGUCACUAUUAUAAUAAAUGAAAUAGGAAAGAGAAAGUAUUGUUUUUUUACAGGAUUGAUUACCGUAUCAUGGUUAAACUAUGGUUGCAGUGCUUUCCUUCAAAAUAACUAUGCAGCUAAUCAAAAACCAUAUUUACUGCAUGUUUAGAAAAGCAAUAAAAUAAAUAAGCAGCAUUCAUUUCAGGCUUUUAGUGCAACCCCAAUGUUAUAUGUGUAUCUUAUAAAUCAGAUUUAAUUUUUAUGUAACUUUAAUCUCUUUAAUUUUUCACCAGAGGGGGCGCACCAGAUGACACUCCAUUUGAGGCUGAAAUAGUUCUGGAAUGGUGUUCAGGUUCUGUGAGGAUUGUCCAGUCUCACCAAAGCGUGCAUUUCCUUGUUUGGCCGAAUAUAUUGUCUUGAUCUUAAGACUUGGGUACACUUUUAAAUUCUUUAAAAAAUACUGCUGCACUUAGACAGUGCAAAACUGUCUCAGAAGAUUUUAACAUUAAAAAAUAAGCUGAGUGUUGAGUUAAUUUUCUAAACACAUUCAUACACCACACUCAGACACACGUGUACAACACAAAUUUAGUAGCAUGUUAAUUAAUGUUAUUGUUACAACAUUUACUUGUUGUUUACUUAUUUUCAAAUGAAUGUCUUGCCCUGUUAGCAACAUACGGCAUACAACAAUAGACAUUACAUGCUGAUUCAUGUUAUUGUUAUGAAAUGUCUUGUUUAAUUUUUUAUGAAUUUUUAUGCCUUGUAGCAACAUAUUAUGCACUA